AGCCGAGAGCGCGCACAGCCCAGGGGUGCUGGAGGUCGCGCGCGUUGGCAAGUUGGCCACGGCGAGGGGCGUGGCCGUGGGGAGCAGGAGGAGGGCCGCCGGACCCUCGCACAUACCUUCUUAGGCUGCCUUAGGGUCGUCCACAACCAGUGCUCCUCUCUCUCUUCGUGCCUGGCAUCUGCCCAGCCCUGCCCUCCACAUCCUCAAACCUGCAAAGGAAUGUACCGUGACAUGCGGGUGGAGGUCAGAGGACACUUUGCAGGGAUUGGCUCCCUCAGGGACUGAACUCCGGUGGUCAGGCUCAGCAGCAGGUGCUGCUACCUGUUGAGCCCCACCUGCCGCUUUCUGACCUGACAGUCAUGAGGUUGAAGUGAUGGCGUGGUUCCUGUGACUGGUAGAGCAAAGGUUAAAAAGACAAGACAACUCAGGGCGUGUAGGUGCAUACACAUGUGGAGAAUGGGGCAGGCACAGUAUUUUCUGCUGAGCUGCUGCUGACCCUGGGUGAAGACUCACAUGGACACCCUCCACAGGGCAUCUCCAGAUGACACUCGAUGAAGACCCAUGUGGACGUCCUUUGAGGGCCAUCUCCAGCUGACUCCAGGUUGUUGGUACGUUUCAUACAUAUAGUAUGCAUUUGUAUGCAUAUGGUUUCCUGCUCAUCUUCCUGUGGCCCCACUAUUCUGCUGGUUUCAGCCUUUCUGGUCGCUGGGUAGGGAUACCUCCCUGGCCUUGAGCUUGCAUUUCCUAGACUGAUAUGCUGAGCACCCUUGUAUGUGCACGGACCACAGGUCACAGUCCAUUGUUGGGGGAAGGAACUGAACACUGGAACCGGAGCUUGAAGGCAGAACUACCAGCUGUUCUGAGCUGCAUUACACCCAACAGGAACUGAAGGAACCACAGUAGAAACCCAUGGCUUGCUAAUAGUAUUGUACUUAGCUAGCUUUUGUAUACAGCUCAGCAGAACCUGUCUAGGGAAUGGUGCUUCCCGCAGUGGGCUGGGCCCUCCUACAUACGUUAACAAUGAAGACAGUCCCCCACAGAGGCCCACAGGCCAGUAUGAUCUAGACAGUCCCCAAAUUGAGGCUCCUUCUCAGGUGACUCUAGUAUGUGUCAAGUCAGCAACUCCAACAGCAAGGCUCUUUACAGGAACAGAAGUAAUGAAAUGUAAAAACCUAUAUUUAUAACUCUGUAUUUGUGUGUAAUAAAAUUUAUGAGACUGCCUCACACAAUACAGUCUAGGUAAUCCACCUACACUCAGAAGAGGCUGAGAAUCUGGUAGCUGCUCAGUCCACAAAGCUGGAUGCCUCAACUGUUCUAGUCUGGCACUGAAGACCUGGUUCUCCAUGGAGAGUCACUGGCAUUGAGCCUGCCUUGGAAGGUCAAAGAAGCUGGAGUCUGAUGCCAGCAGAGGGUGGGUGGUCGUGGCCUGUGGAGGUGGCUGUGGCUGUGGCAGAAGCGGUGGCAGUGAUGAGAACUGACGUACUCCUCAGGAAGAAGUGAGGGUGGAUGGGCAGGCAACACUGCCUUUUUCUUGGACCUCUGUAUCUGGGUUGCUCCUUGGAUGACGUCACCCACUUCGAAGGUGAAGGUGCCUGAGAAGACGAAAGAGGGGAAUUUCCUGGACCUGGAGUUACAGGUGGUUGCUGGGAGCCCAAAUCAGGUCACCUGUAAGAGCAGCACAGCAUCUCUCCAGCCCUUGUGUCUGUGGAAUGCAGGAGUUAUCUAUCGGUCCUGGAACUUGCACUAGAGACUGUGUGAGCCACUGUGUGACUGUGGGAAUUGAACCUGGGUUCUCAGGAAGAUCAUCCAGGGCUCGGAACCCCUCUCUCCAGCCCCGGUAUGCAGUGUGCAGCAUUCUUCACUACCUUCUAGGAUAAGCAAGUUCUAAUUUCUGCUGUGACGUUUGAACCCUGGGUUGGGGCUGUUUUCCUUGAAUUCCCAUCAGUGUUUUUCUCGUUUUCCCUCUGCGCUCACAGGACCUGGCCUGGGAAUUGCCAAGGCUCUCAGAGUUCUGGAGACAUGUUUUUAGCCCAGCAUGCCAUCCAUUUUAAAGCACAUUGUCUUUUGCACUAUAAAGACUGUGUGCACUUAUUAACUGUGUUAUUUAAAUUUCUCAUGUCCCUGCUGACUUAGAAGUGUCCUCAAUCUGUCACAGUAGCAUAGCUGUUUUGCCUGGGUGUGACAUGACCAUGGCAGUCUUGAAGCUGAGUAGCUGUGCUGACUUACGGAAGACCUUGGCCAUAGCCAUGACAAUGAAAUAAGCAGAAUGAUAGGUUGACAGCCAGGUCUGUGGCUACAGUGAAGAGGCUCUUCCCUGUGGAAGGACCAGGGGCCACUGAGGAACCUCAGCUGAGAUCCUAUCACACUCCCUACUGCUCCAGCUGCCCAAGGAAUGAAUGAGAACUACCUCCCCACCCCCAUAGGCUUAUGUGUUUGAACACGCAGUGCCCAGUUGGUGGUGCUGUUUGGAAGGUCAUGGGGGAAGGGCCGCCUUACUGAAGGAAUUACAUCACUGGGGGAGGGCUCUGAGCUCUCAUAGCCUCAUGCCACUGCCAGGUCUCUUUCUGGUUCAUGUUGUGGUUGAAAAUGUGAUUUCUCACCCUUGUUCUUUGCUGACAUACUUUCUCGUCAUGAUGGACUCUCCCUCUAAAACCUCAAACCCAAAUAAACUCUUCCUUCCUUAA